GACGAACGCUGGCGGCGUGCUUAACACAUGCAAGUCGAACGGAAAGGCCCUGCUUUUGUGGGGUGCUCGAGUGGCGAACGGGUGAGUAACACGUGAGUAACCUGCCCUUGACUUUGGGAUAACUUCAGGAAACUGGGGCUAAUACCGGAUAGGAGCUCCUGCUGCAUGGUGGGGGUUGGAAAGUUUCGGCGGUUGGGGAUGGACUCGCGGCUUAUCAGCUUGUUGGUGGGGUAGUGGCUUACCAAGGCUUUGACGGGUAGCCGGCCUGGGAGGGUGACCGGCCACCUUGGGACUGAGAUACGGACCAGACUCCUACGGGAGGCAGCAGUGGGGAAUAUUGCACAAUGGGCGGAAGCCUGAUGAAGCAACGCCGCGUGCGGGAUGACGGCCUUCGGGUUGUAAACCGCUUUCGCCUGUGACGAAGCGUGAGUGACGGUAAUGGGUAAAGAAGCACCGGCUAACUACGUG
rnacentral:rRNA from 1 species